UGCCCUAGUCUGUCCUUGUAGGGCUUAUAUAAGGAAGUUAAUAGGUGUGUGUUAGUUUGUUUUUAAAUAAAAGCCUUGGCCUUAAUACAUGAAAGUGCAUAGGCAUGUGCGUAAGCCAUAAUGAUUUCAAAAUAUACUGCCCAGUAGACCAGCAUGUGUAGUCCAUCUUUAUUCAGGAAAGCAUUUAAGCACAUGUCUAAUUAUGACUGAGCUAGCUGCUUAGUUAGCCUAAUAAUGUUGAGUCCUUUGGCUCUGGCUCUGAGCACAGGGCAGUCAUUCAGAGCCCCAGAAUAGAUUGUUCUAACACUUACGAAGAAACUGUGUUACAUGUAACUAAUAGGAAAAAAAUGCUGAAACACUUGUGUGAUCUGAAGUUUAUUGCUGUAAAAGAAGCAAUGUUAAUAAUAUACAUUAACAGCAUUUCCAAACUUACAUAGGCUAACUGAAUUUUUGUACAGUAUUCUACAAUAAGAAAGUAACUAUGUUUGAAAAGCAGUUUUUGGCUUUCUUACUUAUGGGUUUCAGAAAUGCUUACAGCACCUAAGAUAAAUAUCACCAAAAAUAUCCAUUCUUCUCAUGUAUUUCCCUGUUACAAUACUUAAUUAUGUUCAGCGUAAUUUUAGAUAUAAUAUUAGAUUCUUAAAUUGUUUCCUUUUUCUUCUCUUCUCCCACAAUAUCAGAAUACAAAUAUGUGACUCAUCAACGUGGUUUGCUUUCUGAAAGCCUUUUUAUAGUUGUGUUGUGUCUCAUAACACUGCUUCUUCAGUUAUGAUUUUGAAGAGUUAUCAGAUACAAAGUGUUACCAACAUAAUAAAACUGGUGUUUCAUUCAGGCUGUAUAUCCUACAGCCCUCAAAAAUGUAUUUUUGUAACACAAAGGUGUAUGAGUGGCACUAAGUUGCGAUUUGUAGAACCAGUAGGACUUCUGGAAUCAGAAAGUGUAAGCUUUGCAUUUUGUAGUCUUCUUUGUGUGAUGGUGAUUAGACAUAAAGUAGAAAAUUGAAAUGUCAAGGCUUAAUAUUUUAAAUUUUGAUAAACCACAUACAGCACCUUUACAGCCACUCGUCACAUACUCUUGCAAUGUUAAGUGUCAAUAAAAAGCUGUCAUCAGCAAAUUUAGGGUGCUUGGGUACCAGUAGCAGUCUAGUCACAACAGCACAAAUAUUGAUUUUGGCUAAUUUACCCAGACCAACUGUAGGAUAAAUUAGUCUCCAUUGGAACUUAGUACAGCUGUGGCCAGGUUCUUCCUGCUGCCAACCUAACUUCAGAUACCAUUACGGUAUGUUACAGUCUAGACCAGGAAUCAGAAACCUUUAUGAACUGUAAGCCACCAUUCUGUGCAUUGGUUUUUCUGCUGGAUGUUGCAGAAGGGAUGACAGCAUGUAGCAGAGGAAUGCAGGGCAGAGAAGGUGCCCCUGGCUGCCCCAUGCCAUUAAUCCCCAUCACUACCACAGGUUGUGGUGGGCCAGAUUCAAUCUCUUUUGUGGACUAGAUGCAGCCCUUGGUCCAUAUAUUGCCAGCCCAUGGUCUAGACAUACCCUUGGUCACUCCUCAAUUAUGUGAGUGAGUCGUGGCACACUGUCAUAUUCAUCAGUGAAAAAAAAAAACUCAGGAUAGUGUAGACCUUUUUUAUUACCAGGUAUCUUGAAAUGUUAUGUCAUCUCUUAUGUAGCAAAAUGUGUUCUCAGCCUUGCCUGAACUGUAAUACAGACAACAGUUGAAUGCAUUUGGAAGGGGUUGAGCUAGUGGUGGUGUCUGCUAGUUUUUGUACGUAAAUUUUCCCAGCAGUGUAGUGUUCCUGCCUGUAUCAAAGGAGAGUAUGCCAGGUGAUAUGCAAGCAUUUUUGCCCCCAGGUCUUCCAGACCUAAUCUAAGGAGUGAAAAAUGUGUAAAUUUUGGGGGGUUAUCAUAAUUGCCUCCAAAUAAUGCAUCACUCACCGUUAUGUUGCAUUCCAGGAUACAAACCCUAGUCAAAUGUCCUGCUGUCAGAAAUACAGUUGGAAGAGAAGCUGAAAAUAAUUUGGUUAGAAAAAGGACCUGAGCGGAUGCUGUACAUUAACCUCUCCGUUAAGAUCCCUAGUAGUAAUCAGAUCUAUAUCAUUGGUAUGUAAUGCCCUGCUUUACCAUGUUUCCAGUUGUUUAUAGAUACAUAACUAAUGAAAGAGAUGCGUAACUAGUGAAAAAUUAUGUCUGUAUCUUAUCAAGGAUUUUGGUUACCAGAUUUAUUUGUUGUUAGAGACUUAGGAUGGCUUCCAGUAAAAACAGAUACAUUCUAAAAACAGAUAUAAGUUCCUCAUUGUAAUGUAUUCAUUGCGUCCUUGACUAAAAUGCAUAAACCUCAUUGAAGCUGUCACUCAUUGGAAGGACUGCUUCUGGGGUAAGUAAUAGGUUUGGUUUUCUGUAGUUAAUCUGUUUACCUUUAAACCUGGAUGGUAAAAAA